GAGGAAGUUGCAGAGACGGUUGACUCUAUUGGUGCAGUGACUGUUUAUCCAGAAAAAUAGUGGUUGUUCAGUCAACGUUGCAAGGUUGCCUUUUUGGGACUUUAUUCCAUAUAUCCAAAGCACACUGGAUGUGGCAGGUCUGAAGAAGCAGAACAGGGAUGGGUUCAUUCAUCACCUAUGCUGACCCAAAGGGGAAAAAAAAAGUGCAGUCUAUGUGAUGGGGGAUGCAGCCGCAGCCUUGGGUCACCAUUUGCUUUCCUGACUGGUGAAUUGCUGGAGCUACCUGAAAGCCCAGUUGUAAGAGGAAUAGUGUUUUCCACGUUGAGUCACCGGAUGGGGAUUGCAAAGAACUCAUUAUCAGCCCUGCAUUUGACUUUCAGUUUGAUUUUUUGGACUGCAGUCCCUACCUGCAAACUGGAAAUCGCCUCUGUGAAGUGCAUGUCAGUAUCAGCUCCUGCACUGAAUCUAUGAGGAAACACGACAGGAAACAGCUGCAGGUGGCUUGGUCAGUCUGGGUAGGUGGUUCUCCCAUGGUCACCUCACCAGAACUGGAUCCAAUCCUAACAAAAUAGAAAUGGUGCAGUCAGACUGCUCCUUUUCCUCUUUUCUCUGGAUAUAUUAUUGCAACACACAUUUUUAUUCUUGAUGAAGUGCGUAUCUUCCUUAUCUGUACUUUUUCUUUUAGAGAAAAAUUGUGUUCCCUAGGAUUUUUUCCUUGCAAAUCUGUCUUAAUCUAUACCUGCCUACAACAUGAACUGUUCCUACUGUACUACCCUGAACUCUUAGACUGAAUCCUGUCGUCUAAUUGUGGCUGCCCCAGUUCAAUUGCUGUUUGUUACUGUGGGUGCAUCUCUUGAUUGUUGCUGCACUGAAAUCACGCAUGAUGUUUUUGCUUUUUCACCUAACGGUUGGGAAAAGCAUUGUUUUCUCUUCUGUCAAGACUUAUAUCCUGCUUAGCAUUUGCCCAUCACUCCUCUGUUCUAGGAAAUGUAAUAUGAAUCUUCCUCUCCUGUGUAUUUUCUUCAGCCUGAGCACCAGAGACGUCUGAGUCACAACAGAUCUAUGAUAAAAUUUUUGGUUUCU
rnacentral:lncRNA from 7 species